ACUUGACUGGCUGAGAGGAGGUGCAUGGCCGUCGUCAGUUCGUACUGUGAAGCAUCCUGUUAAGUCAGGCAACGAGCGAGACCCACGCCAACAGUUGCCAGCUCGUCCUCCGGGGAUGGUGGGGACACUGUUGGGACCGCCUCUGCUAAAGAGGAGGAAGGAAUGGGCAACGGUAGGUCAGCAUGCCCCGAAUUAUCUGGGCUACACGCGGGCUACAAUGGGUGGGACAAUGGGUAUCGACACCGAAAGGUGAAGGCAAUCUCCUAAACCCAUCCGUAGUUCGGAUUGUGGGCUGCAACUCGCCCACAUGAAGCUGGAAUCUGUAGUAAUCGUGUCUCAAAAUGGCACGGUGAAUAUGUCCCUGCUCCUU
rnacentral:rRNA from 1 species